UAAAUUGGUUAGUCUCUAAGGUGCCACAAGUCCUCCUUUUCUUCAUGCCCUAAUUAGAACUGUUUUUAAGAAUGGUGCUAACAUAGGUUCAUCAAGGUUUCCUUACCCACUGUGAAUAGGCUUGAUUGCUUUUUAAAUAAUGUAACAAAGCAUGUUUUAAAGAACUGCUCCCCCAGUCCGCUCCCUUGUAUAGCUUAAGGAGGGAAUGUAAAGCCAGUGAUUUUGUAACACACUUCAAGUUUAGGAGUGUGAUGAGUGGAACUUUAAGAAGCAUGUGUGUGCUUACCACACCUUUUAAGACCCAGGAAACUCUGGAUGAAGACUUUGAAAGGAUGGUCAGUAGGAAGUUGUUUCAGCAAGUUGGUUGAUGACUAAACCCAAGAAAGUAAUAGGGCUGGGUGGUCUUUAUAAACCUCUAACUGGAUUGUUUUGCUGUUCUGAUCCAUUUAGGUUCACUGUAGUUAAACUAAAAAGCAUGACUGGCCGAUUGAAUUUUGGGAGGCAUAACAAUCUUGGAAAGAAUUACGUUUCAGUUUUGUCCAUCAUGGGGAUGGGGUUUCUUGUAAUUCUGUCUAUGCCCUGUUAGAGACCUUCAUUCAAUAAUUCACUCUUAUUCAGACAUCUCCGAAAGGCUAAGAUUUCAAAAAGUUAAUGCCACAAUUCUAGGAUGUUGCUGAUGACCCAGUCUCUGUUAUUUAAAAUAAAUCAAUAAACACCCAGAGAACAAGAUCUAUGACCUUAUGGGCAACUUUAUUAAGUCAAAACUAUGCCUUCAAGAACUCAUAUUCCAGAAACAUUUCCAGUUUCAUAUUCACAUUGACAGUAUCAAAGUCAAUAAGUCUGCUCCAGGGAAUAAGCUCUGUAAAGCCAUGGUUUUGAAAACUAAAUUUUUUAACUAUAUAGAGUUAUCACAUCAUACCAGACAUGAUGUGCCCCUGGCUUGCUUCCAGUCCUUCACAGUUACAUAACUGAGACAAAACUACCAAAGAUGAGUGUAGGUCGCAGGUUGCUUCCCACAACGCUAGCAUAACACAGCCUGAGGACCAUUCCCCGGUGUAAUGAAGCUUCAGCGCAGGAUUCAUUGUCUAAAAGUUUAAGCUUUUCAUCUAUGGACAUUUGCACUUCCUCCUUAUGGACUUCAGCCCACUGCUCAAAAACCUCUUGCUGUAAAUUCUCCAUCCUUUUCUGUGUGAUCCAAGGAGUAGGAUCCCUUCCUGAGAAAGUUUGUCUACAAGAGGUACAAAUCAUUUACAUAACGUGCCUGCCUGAAAAAAGUUACUUUCACAGGAGUACCAGAGGCAAGUCUAGGGGUAACACCUUUAAAAUGUAGUAUUUCUAAUUUGCAGAUAAAGGGGGGAAAAAGUGUUUCAUGGCAACUUAUGCCUCAUAGCUAUGCUUCAAAGGACAGAAACCAACCUUUAGUGUCAUAUAAGUCUCCCACGACCUUUAUCUCUUUGUCUAAUACCGUGUGUUCAUUCUUGGAAUAUAUAUAUACGCACACGCACACUAAAGUGUGCUUAAAGGAUUAAAUUCUGUGGACUUGAGAUAAUGAAACUGUAAAUAAGCCAGGACACCUCAAAUUUAGUAGAUAGACAUUAUCAGAGCCUCAAAGUCAGCAAAAUGUGCAAAAAGAAAACACACAAAAACACUCCAGAAUUCUCUUACACUUAGCUUAGAAAUUGGCUCUGAAGAAUCCCACCGAUUGUUAAAGGUUUUUGUAAUAAAGAGGAAAGUUCUAGUUGCAAAAUGGUUUCAUCUUAAGUGCAGAACAUUUGAGACCCUCGGCCACCCAAUCCUCUCUGCAAAGACAUUUAUGGAUCCCAUUUCAACAGCCUGACCUCCAGGAAUCACAUUAUCCACGUUCACCUAUCAUCUUCUGGGUUUGAAUGCACUGCUGCAUUCACUGGAACUCAGCCCUUCCAGGUUGAAGUCCAUUGAGAUAAAUGCCUAUCAAGUGGCAGGAGGGCUCAGACCGAGCUACUAGAUGAUACACUGGCUGAAUAUGCUGAGGCUGAACCCUAAAAGAUAUUGCUCCACCAUCAUGAUGCCUUGCCCUGUAAUUGCAUCGGCUUGGAUGCCUGGUAUUAGGGUUCCAUUCGAUGUAACUAGGAGCAUUGUUUUCCUUGUAUCAGUUUUAAAUGGCACUGCAGUGCAAUAUACCUAAAUCUGUGUUCUUUUGGAAACAGCAACAGCUGAUAGUGUUCUCAUUCACUGUUACAGUCUUAACAUUAAGGCAAUAAUCUCAGCCUUAAUAGUCAGAAAUAGCUUUGAAUUAAACAGUAAGAAGAAUGAAAGAGAUCCAACUAUUACAACACCUUUUUCCAAUUUACUUUAGCCAGAAAGAAGAGAAAGAUUAACUAGAGAUAAAUAACAGUAACGAUUGUGCAAUUGUCUUUAUAUAUCACAUGGAUUAGACUACCCAUAAUUCCAUCAGCGCCAUACAUAGCCCCAUCAGCAUAUAGCACCAUAGAUGACUAUGAGUGGCGAGGAGUGAAAAGUGUGUAAAGUUCUUACAGAAAACCACCCUACUACCAAUUUCACAGAUCUGCAAAAUACAUGAGGUAACAGUUUUACUUUUUAAUGCUUAUCCUCAGCGUAUGAAGUAAAUAUGGACCAGAAACAAUAUUAUCUAUUCAUAAAUGUAGGUAUAGCCAUAAGUGAAUUUACAAAGAUUAAUGACAGAUUGUGCUUCAUUCUUGCAUGCAUGCUUUGACUGUCAGUGAAAUAUUUAACAAUGCUGACAUUUAAAUAAUCAUAAUUAGGCUUCAGAGGGAACAUCUUAUUCAGAUGAAUAGGACAGUUCAUACCUCUCAGCUAUCACUUCGAUAUGUGAUGCCUGUCAGUGUCUGAAGACAUCUCUGCAUCAGCUACACAUGUUCACGAUUUUGAAGGUUCAUUUCAAACUAGAAGGACUAGACACUUAAAAAAAAUCUUAGAUUCUGGAACAAGAAACAAUAGUCUCCCCCCCCCCGCCCCCAAAAAAGGGAACCCCAGUUUAUCAAGCUGGUUUGUGUCAGCCCAAAUUCACCUCAGGUGAAGGCUCUCCACAUGUAUCAAACAUUCAAGAGCAAGGAUGGCCUAGUGGCUAGAGAGCCUGUGACUUGGAAUACCAGCCUUCAGUUCGCUGCUCACAGGUUUCCCCUGUGAUCUUGGGCAAGUCACUGAGGCUUUCUGUGCCUCAGCCCCUUGUUCCCCUUGAGGUAGGGAAAUAUAAUAAUAUUUCCCUACCUCAUAUAGGUGUUGUAAAGACAAAUACAUUAAAGAUACCAUUAGGGCCAGAUAGCUACCUUAGAUAGACUUGGUUCUCCUCUCCUGCACUAAUGUAAGUCAGAAAUGGUGAAAGAGUGAGGAGAAUCAAACCCAAUAUUGUAUCCAACUUCAGUGGUAGCAUUCCGUAUUAGAAUAGAGGCAAAUGAUGGCAAUCCAUUGUAAUUCUUUAAGAGAGCACCAUUAUACGUGUGAGAGUUCUCACAAGGGGACUCAGAGGAGAAGUAUCAUCUGGUAAAAACAGAUGCAUCUUUUAAAAAAUUAGACCUACGUAAAGUUGAUUAAAUGAAUUGCCUUGACGCAGCAAUGAUCUGUUGCACCAUCAUGCUGAGUCAUGAUUCACCAACCCAUGAUGCUGUGAAAUUCUCAGCGUACUGGACAAAAGCUGGUUGUUACCUGCAACCCAGCACCUGAUGAGGAAGCACUAAGUGUCUAAUCCUACAUGUGUGUGUAUACAUAGAGAAGUUACUCUUAAUUGCCAUUAACCGCAGUACAUAUGGUGAGAAUCCAACUGUGGGGCAAUAGGAAAGUAGCUCUCCUCAGCCCUGGUUAGUUAUUCCACUCUCAAAGUAGUGUGCAAAGUUGUUGGAACUACCCCCCACAAGAAGUGUCCCUUUGAAAUCCACCAUUAGAACUUAGCCAUGGGCAGCAAAGCUGUCUGGAAAUCAGAUGGUUGGUUGUUGUUUUCCCUGGAUAUUCAGUUUAUAUAGUAUGCGCAGCUGAAAACUAUUAUACUUGAUUUAAAGUGACAAUUGAUAACAAGUUGAAUCCAGACUAUUAUUGAACAUAAUUAUUCAACAGAAGCCAUCCUGAAUCAAUUAAUCAUACACUGAAUGCUUAUUUAGUGAAACUCCAACUCUUGGGGGGGAAAAAUUCACAUUUCUGAUUAAUAGAUUGUUAUACAGCUUAGUUUACAAUUUGUUGCACAGCAAUACUUUCAUCAAACUCACUGAAGAAGUGUUAUGUCUUCCUCCAUUAGCAGCACAUUAAAAUGGUUCCAUUUGUUUCAAAUGAAAGUGAGACAUUUGCAGGGGGAAACAAAACAGAUUUGUUUUAAUAAACAUAGACACAACUGUGAAGUUCUUUCCAGUGACACUCACUCUUCGUCCAGUAUAAGGCUAUGGCAGGCUGCUCUCAUAUGUACCAGGGACAGUAUCAUAACUUAUUUUUAUAAUGUUGACCCUUUUCGACCUAAUCUAAGUUCAGGGCCUAAGGAUGUUCCAGUUGGAAGCAGAAAUGGAUGGAGUCUGGUAUUUUCUUUGAUGCAGUCUUGAUUAGGACUUUGUACAUUCCUUGUAAAUACUUCUCUGAAUGCAGGCGGGACCAAGAACUGUUAGGAAUCAGGGCCUGCUGCAGAGCCAGGCUCCGUGCAACGUAGCUCUCACAGCUGGCCUGUAGGAGACUGCCAGCUUGACUGCAUCCCCUGUUCGCUGGAAGAAUCAGCAGGGCGGCUCUAAAGCCCAGCAGCCGCUCGAAGCGUUCAGCCACAGUUGUAGCUCCUUGUUUGUUCCCAGCCCUGCCCCGCCUGGCCCCACACCAGGUAACUCAGCUCUGGCCCUCAGUUCUGAUUCCUGGCUUCUGGCUCUGGCAUCUCGCCUCUGACUCCAGCUCUGACCCUGCGCUCCAAUUCCUGACUACUAACUCCUGCUGUAACCCCUGGGCAUGGCUCCUUCACUGACGUAGUCCUGCAAGCUUCAUCUCCAGCUGCUACCUUUCCUUCCUGACCAGUUCAAUGGCAAUCGAAGCAAAUUUCCGGGGUUCCUAAAUCAGGGUUGGCUUCUAUUUCUGCUACACCCGCAGUCGUAUCUCACUGACCAAGCCUCAGCAGGACUGACUAUCAGCCUGCUUACUCGGGAGACCCUAGCUCAGGUGUCUCCACGCCAGGAAAAUCAGGCCCACUUCUGGGACAAUUUGACGACUUUGUUCAAGCUCUGGUGACGAUCUUCAGGGCGUGCAGCCAAAACUGCCCUUCCUGUGCUGUGGCAGGGAUGCCUGCCAGUUGCUAAAUAUGCAGCUGCGUGCCAGCGCAUGGUAGUAGAUACGGAAUGGAACGAGGCUGCCCAGCAUUAUCAUUUGUGGCUCAGCCUUAAUGAUGAUACUAAAGAUGAACUGGCAUGGGUGGAAGCCCCAUCUGGCCUGGUCGCCUCAGUUGACCGAUGCAUCCAGAUCACUGACUGCCUGACCAAACACCGCCAAGGACAAAGAUGUUUCUGCCAACUUCCCCCAGCCCAGCGGGCUCUGUCCCCAAACCCUCCUGUCACCAGUCCCUUCUCUGUCACUGGAACCCAUUCAAGUUGAUCAGGUCUAGCCCCACCUUUCUGACAUGGAGAAGAAUCAACACCAGGCAUCAGGCUUAUGCCUAUACUGCAGGGCACAAGAAAGCUUUGCAUCAAGCUGCCCUGCCAAGGUCCAAUCUGCGCCCUGGUAGGUAAACAUGAAACCCUAACCCCAAUCGUGGGAUCACAGCUGGUUUGGUGCCCUUCCCCUUUCCCCAGCAGCCCACACCAACACAUCUCCAAUUCCCCCUCUCUGGCUCUGGCACCCUUUGGUGCCUGAAUCAACCCAGAGGGGCUGGUGGACUCAGGUGCCUCAGGCAAUUUCAUAGAUCUGGCAUUCACCCGAGCACACAAGACACCCACCCAGCAUAAGCCGCCCCCCAGAUUAGUGGAGUCCAUAAAUGGGUCACUCAUUUUCUCAGGGCCAGUCAUCCACCAGAUGACUCCCUUAGAGGUCAUGACCCUCUGAGUCACUGAGAAACCCUUCCGUUUGGGCAAAUUUGUUCACCAACUCAAAAGGUCUCUCUUUCUAGCUUUAUCCAGGUUCACACUCUUCACAGGCUACUGCUUGGUUCUCUUGCUUUUUGCCUCUCCUCUCUCUCUCUCCGUGUCCAUUCUCAGUUUCUGUAUGUUCUCUCUUUAACACACACACACACACACACACACACACACACACACACACACACACACACACUCUUCUACCCAAAACAAUAUUAAUCCAAAAGCUCCUGGGCAUGAUGCAGCUGCACUGCUAUAGCACUUUAAUGAAGAUGUUCUACACCGAGGGGAGAGAGCUCUCCCGUCAUCGGUGUAGUUAAUCCACCUCCCCCAAAGGCUUGCUGUCUCUGGCAGUAGGCUAAUACCUAAAGCCAGUUGAAGACUUUGCUAAUCUGCUUGGUGCAGAUAGCUAUGAAACGCUGGAAAACUUUGUGCACUGCUCCUUUAACUAUCUAAGCUCCACUGUCUU